UGCACGCCCAAGUGGUUGGGCGGUCUUGGCAUACCAGACUUGGCCUGGACGAAUGUGGCUUUGCAGGCCAAAUGGCUAUGGCUGCAGCGGGUGGAUCGGGACAUACCAUGGCGGGAGUUCUCAUUCUCAGUGCCGAAGGAAGCAACGCAACUUUUUCAGGCUGCAACAGGAGCGGUCAUUGGCGACGGAUGGGACAUCCUAUUCUGGGAGGAUAGGUGGCUUGACGGCUAUCGGAUGCAGGAGUUGGCACCGCGGGCAUACAUCGCAGUCCCAUCACGGACAACGAAAGAAAGGACAGUCUUUGAGGACGUUGCACAAGGGGGUUGGGCCACGGAUAUCGGGCCUAGCAUCGAUGUGGCCGAAUUGAACGAAUACAUGAGCAUCUGGCCUAGGAUUGCGGCAGUGCAGAUACAGGAGGGAGCCGCUGAUUCCAUCUCAUGGUCAUGGGAGAGCAGCGGCGAGUUCUCGGCCAGGUCUCGCCCACGGCAGCGUUCACAUGGUGUUCGAAGACUCUGCUCCGGUGUCGGUUAUUCGCAUGGUUGGCAAUCAUGGAUCGUUGUUGGACUUCUGACAGGCUGGCACGCCGUGGCCUGCCACACCAGGAUACGUGUCCUUUUGGCGACCAGCACGACGAAACGAUCAGCCAUCUACUUGUGGAGUGCGUGCUAG
rnacentral:rRNA from 1 species